GGCUCGCUGCUCUGAGCAGAGGGCUGUUGGUCUCAGAAUACCCGGAGGUUCCGGAAUCAGAUGAGAUUCAGAAGAGCUAGAUGUUUGUGUCGAGAAUGGCCAAGAGCUGCCUCAGGCCAGUCACGGGCAGGGCCCCGGGGAGCUCCGGGGAGCGUCAGAGCCAAACCGUCCCCGAGACACCCUCUCCUCCAGCAGGGCUUCCUCCUAACGCUUGGGGCUUCCAGGGUAGGAAAAGCAACAAGCCCAAGGAGGUAACAGAGGUCAGGGCCGGCCUGAGAGCUGCUGGCUGGGGAACUAAGCUCCUCUGUCUCGCUCCCCUCGCUCUGGAAGCAUUAAAUAAGAAACCUGGGCAAGGCUUCCAAUCAUCCUAGAAGUAUUCGGGGGAUUUGACUUCAUUUUUCCUCCCCUGCACCAAUCUCCCAAGACUGCCAUCCUUCUACCCACCAUCGAGAAUGAUUAGGUGAGCAAAUCAACUAUGGAAGGCUUCAGGGAUUCUAAGAGACUUCAGUAAGAAGUAGAAAUUAGCCUAUUGAAAGGUGUGGACACAGGAUAGGAUGCUAGACCUAGGACUACAGAUGAGAAAACUGAGGGUCAGAGAGAAGAUUUGGCCUGGAUCACGCAGAUAAAUUUAUGACAGGAUUUGAAUUUAGGUCCCCCAGAACCAAGACUCAUGUUCUUUCCAUUAAGCCACAUGCACGUGACACCUGUGGAUUGAGAAGAGUAUAGUAGUGGCUGUGGGGCUGAGACU